UGACCUAAACCCUCACCAGAGUAACAAUUGGAGGGCAAGUCUGGUGCCAGCAGCCGCGGUAAUUCCAGCUCCAAUAGCGUAUAUUAAACUUGUUGCAGUUAAAAAGCUCGUAGUUGAAUUUUUGCGUGGUGUUAAUAUUGACUAAUGUCGAGAUUGCACUUCGCUUUUGGGAUUUAUCCCUUUUUACUUUGAGAAAAUUAGAGUGUUUCAAGCAGACUUUUGUCUUGAAUACUUCAGCAUGGAAUAAUAGAGUAGGACUUUGGUUCUAUUUUGUUGGUUUGUGAACCUUAGUAAUGGUUAAUAGGAACGGUUGGGGGCAUUCGUAUUUAACUGUCAGAGGUGAAAUUCUUAGAUUUGUUAAAGACGAACUACUGCGAAAGCAUUUGCCAAGGACGUUUUCAUUAAUCAAGAACGAAAGUUAGGGG
rnacentral:rRNA from 1 species